AUCCAGCUGACGAGUCCCAAAUCGGAUGAAACGCGCGUCCUGGAU
rnacentral:hammerhead_ribozyme from 1 species